rnacentral:rRNA from 1 species
AUACGGAGGGUGCAAGCGUUAAUCGGAAUUACUGGGCGUAAAGCGUGCGUAGGUGGUUUGUUAAGUUAGAUGUGAAAGCCCCGGGCUCAACCUGGGAACUGCAUUUGAAACUGGCAUACUAGAGUAUAGGAGAGGAAAGUGGAAUUUCAGGUGUAGCGGUGAAAUGCGUAGAUAUCUGAAGGAACAUCAAUGGCGAAGGCAGCUUUCUGGACUAAUACUGACACUGAGGUACGAAAGCGUGGGUAGCAAACAGGAUUAGAAACCCUAGUAGUCC